UACGUAGGGGGCAAGCGUUGUCCGGAAUCAUUGGGCGUAAAGAGCGUGUAGGCGGUUCGGUAAGUCUGUCGUGAAAUCCUGAGGCUCAACCUCGGGCGUGCGAUGGAUACUGCCGGGCUAGAGGGUGGUAGAGGCGAGUGGAAUUCCCGGUGUAGCGGUGAAAUGCGCAGAUAUCAGGAGGAACACCAGCGGCGAAGGCGGCGCUCUGGGCCGGUACUGACACUGAGGAGCGAAAGCGUGGGUAGCAAACAGG
rnacentral:rRNA from 1 species